UCCUUGGUGGUUCAGUGGUUAGGAUUUGGUGCUUUCACUGCUAGGCCCCAAGUUCAAUCCCUGGUCAGGGAA
rnacentral:tRNA from 1 species